rnacentral:rRNA from 1 species
UACAGAGGGGGCAAGCGUUGUUCGGAAUUACUGGGCGUAAAGGGCGCGUAGGCGGAUAUCUAAGUUGGGGGUGAAAUCCCGGGGCUCAACCUCGGAAUUGCCUUCAAAACUGGAUAUCUUGAGUUCGGGAGAGGUGAGUGGAACUCCGAGUGUAGAGGUGAAAUUCGUAGAUAUUCGGAAGAACACCAGUGGCGAAGGCGACUCACUGGCCCGAUACUGACGCUGAGGCGCGAAAGCGUGGGGAGCAAACAGG